GGUUUGGUGGUCUAGUAGUAUGAUUCACCCUUAGGGUUCUAGCUCUCGUCGAGGCGAGAUGACUGGCCUAUCUUGGGUGAGGUCCCGGGUUCAAUUCCCGGCCAGACCC
rnacentral:tRNA from 1 species